GUGAAUUAAAAAUUUUGUUCAGACAAACUUGAAAGUUGUAUAAACUUACUGCUGAAUAUACUGACUCUUUCCUAGGAAAACAUGGGAACAUAGGAUGGCAUGUGGCAAGGUCACAGGACCACAGGAUCACGAGGUUGGAAGAGACCUUCAGGAUCAUUGAGUCCAGCUCAGGGUGGUUGUGAGCAGGGUCUGCAGAGGCGGCCAAGACUCUGUGUGCCUUGAGAAACAAGAGGAAUCUGCCUUUUAUCCCCUCCUGCCCAGACUGACAGCAAAAUGAAAGCUGCAGCAAGGUUUGUCUAAGAGCUGUAACCUCUCAGCAACUCUACUGUUAUUUCUGAUGGUGAGAAACACUUGAAUUUGAACCAAGUCAGUCUUUUGACAGAGAAUGGGAGAAACCAUUUGAAUAAAGAAAAUAUUCUUGUGCCAGCCCUUCCCUUGAAGUAACACCAAAGUUCUCUGGAGUGUUUUGGCUCCUGCCAUCACUCACUCGCCCUUUCCACAGGUUUGAAACUACUUUUUUCUCACAGUUGUAAUCCAUAUAAUCCUACUAUGUGAACUUAGAUAAGAAUUAAAUUAGCAGCAGAGUAUUGAAAGUGGAAAAUUGGCUUGUAGAAUUCUACACAGAGACUGCUCACUUCAGGGUCAGUAGCAGGUUUAUUGCAAGGCAGUCAGCACAGAGGGGUCAGGGAUAUUAAUUGUAAAGUCUCCAUUUUCUCAAUGAGCCUGGUUUUUCCCCUUGUAUUAAAUUGAGAAAACCGUGGAACACUACUCAGUAUCUACCUUUCAACUUCAUUGAGUAAAUAUUGGAAUGCUU
rnacentral:lncRNA from 1 species